AACAGUGAUCUCAAACAUAGCAAUUAUUGUGAGGAUUGCAUAAGACUGGGUAGUGUUUCGUUCUGUUGUACAUAGGGUCACUUUGAGUCAGAACCUCAACGACACCUAACAACCACAACAAACCCUGCAAACGAAAUAAUUGGGAAACGUUACUCUUAAUUAGUUUUCAAUUUCUAAUCUCUACAAUAGCAUUAUGCAAGAAAAAUUGGAUUAAAGCAUAUACAAAUAUGUAAUGAAGUAUAAAUAUAAUUACUAUUGAUAAGGUCCACUACGCUGAAUUUACAUGAAUUUAAUUCCAGCAGACAGAAUUAAUACAGGUACCGCUUUAGAACUGGUAAAACAAUUUUUCCAACUCCCAUUCAACCUCCUAUCAAUGUCUACCAGUUCAUGUAAAACAAGUCUUUUUUAGAAAGAGCAGUUGUCUUUUUUUUUAACAAAAACAUAGUAUUGAAUUUCAAUGUCUCUUUAAAAAACAGUAAAAUAAGAUGUUAAUUGUGUAUCAAAGCUGUACUAUAUAAUCAAUAUGUAUAUUAUCUAUUUAACAUAAAUAUCUCUACCCUAUACAUCACAAAAGAAUCUUCCAUCCCCCUUUGAGUCUACGUGAUAUUUUGAAAAGGGCUUUGGAGCCAGACAAACAUGGUUUUAAGUGCUGGCUCCCAGUACUUGCUAACUAUGUGAUACUGGCCUUAGUUUCCUCAUCUGUGAUAUGGGCUAAUAAGUAGUACUUAGUCCACAGAAAAGUUAUGAGUGUUAAAUAAGAAAAUGUUUACAGUGCAGUGGCCCGCAGACUUGAGCAUGCCUCAGAAUCACCUGGAAGACUUGAUAAAACAGACCACUGGGUGUCACCCCCAGGGUUUCCGAUUCAGCAGGUCUGGGUGGAGCAGGCCCGAGACUGUCUUUCUAACAAGUUCCCUUUGAUGCUGAUGCUUUGGGUCAGACCACCUUUUACAGACACUGGCAUGUUGUAGAUUUGUAACCAGUGUUGGUUCUGUUCAUUUCUAUCUAGAGACUCUUCCUUGACUGAGAAAAAAAAGAAGCUACCAGUGAAAAAGAAAGAUGUCUACACCAUGGCUCCCGAACUGUAUAAAGCUAGAUAUAGCUAUACCCAAUGAAAAAUAGGAGGAAAUAAAGAAAAAUGUAAGUCAUUUAACAUGUUGAAAUAGAUACUUAUUCUUUAUCAUUUUGGUUUGUUAUUUGUGUGAUAAUUUUUUUAAACUAUUGAACACCCUCACUUAGUCCUCACAAUAACACUGUCUUAGUUAUCUAGUGCUGCUAUAACAGAAAUACCACAAAUGGGUGACUUUAACAAACAGAAAUUUAUUUCUUACAGUUUAGGAGGCUAGAAGUCCAAAUUCAGGGUGCUGGCUCUAGGGGAAGGCUUUCUUUCUCCGUCGGCUCUGGAGGAAGGUCACUGUCACUUUGAACUUCUGCUCCUGGGCUAUCUUAAUGUUGCUUGGCAUCUGUUUCCCCAUCUCUGCUUCUUUUUCUUGUUUAAUGUCUUCUAUAUCUCGCUACAGAUUGAUUUAAGGCGCACCCUACACUCAUCCUGUCUCCUUAACAUAACAAAGAAAACCUAUUCCCAAAUGGGAUUAUAACCACAGGCAUAGAAGUUAGUAUUUACAACACAUAUUUUAGGGGAACACAGUCCAACCCUUAGCAAACACCUUGAAGUAUAUAUUUUUCCAUUAGAAGAGCAUUUCCUUAAACACGUGAGGAACAUGAAUAGUGUCUUCAGUGCUCAAUUUGUUUUUUUAAAGUUAUUGUAAAAUUUGCCAUAGUAACCAUUUUUUUAAGUCUAAUAUUUUAUUGUGUUUUCAGUGGAGGUUUACACAGCUUCUUAGGUUCUCAUUCAACAAUUUCUACACCAAUUGUUCAGUGACACUGGUUUACAUUCUUCAUAGUGUGUGAACAUUCUUAGUAUUCUGUUCUGGUGGUUUCAUUUUCAUUCAUCUAGUUUCUCUG